CAGUCAGAUCUGACUAAACUCUUAUCUUGUCAGUAUGGACAAGGUUUAGGGAGUGAGCCAUGGGAAGUCAUAUUUGCUGUUUAGCUUGACUUUGACAUGUGCUUUAAGUAAAUUCCAUAUUUCUUUCUUUGUCAUGAUCUUUGUUUCCUUGCGUUCCUUGGCUGGCCACUCCUUUUUAAGAUAUGACUUUCCCAGAUAUUAUGUGAUUUAGAAAAUUGCCAAUGCUAAAAUAUAUAAAUAGGGUGUGUGGCUGUUAGAGACAUUCAGACACACUGUGCAGACUGCUAGAAUGGCUCUGACAGCGAUUAGUCUUCUGUGUUUUGCAGCUUUGCUGCCUUUCCUUGGGUCUGGGGAACGUGAUGACCACUCAGGUGAGUUUUCCUCUCUAAAGACACGAUUUCUGCUUAAAACGAGGAGAAACAUGAUUGAAUUCUACAUCCUAACAUCCUAAGUAAAGAGACUCUUGCACAAAAUCUGUUCUUAUCAGGAGACCUGAAACAAAUGUACAUUAAGGUGACUGUCACUAAUUAGUUCGCUAGCAUGGAUGUCUCCUACCCCACAACUGUGUCGAAGGGGAUUCCGAUGUUUGGGGUCCUAAAUCACCUACAAGAUACCAACAAAAGUGUCAAUUUCACAUACAGUAUUAACAAAAGCUUUGGCAUAUAUCUG